CCUCAGAGCCCGACACGGGUCUUAAACUCACGAAACCGUGAGAUCAUGACCUGAGCCGCAACCAAGAGUCAGAUGCUUAACCGGCUGAGCCACCCAGGCGCCCCAGGAAGAGGGGUUUUCUGCUGGGACUCCAAGCCGUGAGGCUCACGUAGGGAGGUGGAUAAGGGGUUGGCAAAUUUGUGUGGACUGUGGCAGCAAUCUUGGGUUCUUAUUCCAAUUUUGCCAUUUUGUAGCCGUGUGACUUCGGGUCCAGUGCUUAACUUCUCAGUGCUUCGACUUUGUCAUCUAUGGAAAGGGGUUAAAAUAGCACCCACUUGGUGGUGUCAUUGAGAGGUUUAAAUGACUGGAUGCUUAGAAAUUAUUUAGGAUCCCGUCUGGACCAAGGGAGCAGUUGAUAGUGUUUGCUAAUACCGGCUGUUGGGCUAGACUGGAUUUGCCAGCAGGCACCAUGUGACGACGGUCUGUCUGACACUGAAGCCAGGACCGACACAGGAAGACUGAGUCCUGAUGGGAUCGCUUGAGCACCUGGAUCCAUCCAUGCCUGAAGCCAACAAAGCUCCAGAAUUUAUUUAAGCAGGGCCUGGCAUGGAGUCUGCUACGUGGAAGGUGCUCGGUACCCGUUCCUGGAAGAACUCCCAAACAUCGCGGAAAUCUCUCUCUCCGCUAAUUGCUGUCAGCAUCCAUCAGGAUCACAGAGAGAGCAACAUCCCAGCCAGAGGGGCUUGGGCUUGAGCUCCAUCACGAGGAGAUGGUCUCUUUGGGAAGGCCCAGCGACCCGGAAGGGGCUGCCCCUACCGGGCAUCUCCACCAGGAGGCGCACACAGAGGGAGUCUGGACCGCCAGUGGGCAAAGGGUGCCCUGGGGCCCUGAGCGGCCGCCUGGGGGGCCUGGGUGUGGCUGAGCUCUGGGGCUCCGGAUUCCAUCAGCCUCGGAGACCGGCCCCCCUUGAUGUCUUUCAUAUCUCAGACCAGCCCUAAAGGUUUGGUCACAGGGGUUCUGCUGAUUUCAAAAAGAAAGGUUUGGAACACAAUCCAAUCCUCACUUUUUACAGGUGACACAGCCCUGAG